UAAAGGGUACAGGGCCGUCUUAUAACAGU
rnacentral:sRNA from 1 species